UUGGGCCUACGGGGCGCAGCAGUGAGGAAUAUUGGUCAAUGGCCGCAGGGCUGAACCAGCCGAGCCGCGUGAGGGAUGACGGUCCUAUGGAUUGUAAACCUCUUUUGUCAGGGAGCAAAGGGCGCCACGUGUGGCGUUUUGCGAGUACCUGAAGAAAAAGCAUCGGCUAACUCCGUGCCAGCAGCCGCGGUAAUACGGAGGAUGCGAGCGUUAUCCGGAUUUAUUGGGUUUAAAGGGUGCGCAGGCGGAAUGUCAAGUCAGCGGUAAAAAUUCGGGGCUCAACCCCGUCC
rnacentral:rRNA from 1 species